rnacentral:rRNA from 1 species
AACGAACGCUGGCGGCAGGCUUAACACAUGCAAGUCGAGCGCCCCGCAAGGGGAGCGGCAGACGGGUGAGUAACGCGUGGGAACGUACCCUUUGCUACGGAAUAGCUCCGGGAAACUGGAAUUAAUACCGUAUGUGCCCUACGGGGGAAAGAUUUAUCGGCAAAGGAUCGGCCCGCGUUGGAUUAGCUAGUUGGUGGGGUAAUGGCCUACCAAGGCGACGAUCCAUAGCUGGUCUGAGAGGAUGAUCAGCCACAUUGGGACUGAGACACGGCCCAAACCCCUACGGGAGGCAGCAGUGGGGAAUAUUGGAUAAUGGGCGCAAGCCUGAUCCAGCCAUGCCGCGUGAGUGAUGAAGGCCUUAGGGUUGUAAAGCUCUUUCACCGGAGAAGAUAAUGACGGUAUCCGGAGAAGAAGCCCCGGCUAACUUCGUGCCAGCAGCCGCAGUAAGAC